rnacentral:rRNA from 1 species
GACGAGCCACACGAACGUUAUUCGGAAUUACUGGGCUUAAAGGGUGCGUAGGCGGUGCGGAAAGUUGGGUGUGAAAUCCCUCGGCUCAACCGAGGAACUGCGCUCAAAACUACCGUACUUGAGGAAGAUAGAGGUGAGCGGAACUUACGGUGGAGCGGUGAAAUGCGUUGAUAUCGUAAGGAACACCCGUGGCGAAAGCGGCUCACUGGGUCUUUUCUGACGCUGAUGCACGAAAGCUAGGGGAGCAAACAGG